rnacentral:rRNA from 1 species
UGGGGAAUAUUGCGCAAUGGGGGAAACCCUGACGCAGCAACGCCGCGUUGAGGAUGACGGUUUUCGGAUUGUAAACUCAUGUCUGGUGGGAAGAUAGUGACGGUACCACCGGAGGAAGUCACGGCUAACUACGUGCCAGCAGCCGCGGUAAUACGUAGGUGGCAAGCGUUGUCCGGAAUUACUGGGUGUAAAGGGCGCGUAGACGGGAUUGUAAGUUAGAUGUGAAAUACCGGGGCUCAACCCCGGGGCUGCAUUUAAAACUGCAGUUCUUGAGUGCAGGAGAGGGAAGCGGAAUUCCUAGUGUAGCGGUGAAAUGCGUAGAUAUUAGGAGGAACACCAGUGGCGAAGGCGGCUUUCUGGACUGUAACUGACGUUGAGGCGCGAAAGCGUGGGUAGCAAACAGG